GACGAACGAGGGCGGAGGGAGGAACAAAGGCAAGUCGAACGAUGAAGAAAAGAAUUGAAGCUUCGGCAGAAAUUCAUUUCGGAUUAGUGGCAGACGGGUGAGUAACGCGUGAGCAACCUACCUCUUACAAAGGGAUAGCCUCGGGAAACCGGGAUUAAUACCAUAUAACAUUGCGACGAAGCAUUUCGAUGCAAUCAAAGCUACGGCGGUAAGAGAUGGGCUCGCGUCCCAUUAACCAGAUGGUGAGGUAACGGCUCACCAUAGUAACGAUGGGUAACCGGCCUGAGAGGGUGAACGGUCACACUGGAACUGAGACACGGUCCAGACUCCUACGGGAGGCAGCAGUGGGGAAUAUUGCACAAUGGAGGGAACUCUGAUGCAGCGACGCCGCGUGCUGUCUGCCGGAAUUCGUUUCGUAAAACUCUGUUCUAUGGGAAGAAAAGGACUGUACCAUAGGAGAAAGCUCCGGCUCCUUACGUC
rnacentral:rRNA from 1 species